rnacentral:rRNA from 1 species
CGGUAACAGCUCAAAUUUGAAAUCUGGGUCUUUCAGGCUCCGAGUUGUAAUUUGUAGAAGAUGCUUCGGGUGCGGCUCCGGUCUAAGUUCCUUGGAACAGGACGUCAUAGAGGGUGAGAAUCCCGUAUGUGAUCGGCUGCUUGCGCCCAUGUGAAGCUCUUUCGACGAGU